rnacentral:tRNA from 1 species
CGGUGUAGCUCAAUGGUAGAGCCCUUGUCUUGUAAACAAGUGGUUGUGGGUUCGAUUCCCACCCCCG